CCUACGGGUGGCAGCAGUGAGGAAUAUUGGUCAAUGGACGAGAGUCUGAACCAGCCAAGUAGCGUGAAGGAUGACUGCCCUAUGGGUUGUAAACUUCUUUUAUAAAGGAAUAAAACGAGGCACGUGUGCCUCUUUGCAUGUACUUUAUGAAUAAGGAUCGGCUAACUACGUGCCAGCAGCCGCGGUAAUACGGAGGAUCCGGGCGUUAUCCGGAUUUUUUGGGUUUAAAGGGAGCGUAGAUGGGUUGUUAAGUCAGUUGUGAAAGUUUGCGGCUCAACCGUAAAAUUGCAAUUGAUACUGGCAGUCUUGAGUACAGUUGAGGUAGGCGGAAUUCGUGGUGUAGCGGUGAAAUGCUUAGAUAUCACGAAGAACCCCGAUUGCGAAGGCAGGUGACUAAGCUGUGACUGACAUUGAUGCUCGAAAGUGUGGGUAUCAAACAGGAUUAGAUACCCCGGUAGUC
rnacentral:rRNA from 1 species